rnacentral:rRNA from 1 species
UACGGGGGGGGCAAGCGUUGUUCGGAAUUACUGGGCGUAAAGGGCUCGUAGGCGGCCAACUAAGUCGGAUGUGAAAUCCCCAGGCUCAACUUGGGAACUGCAUCCGAUACUGGAUGGCUUGAAUUCGGGAGAGGGAUGCAGAACUCCAGGUGUAGCGGUGAAAUGCGUAGAUAUCUGGAGGAAUACCGGUGGCGAAGGCGGGUCUCUGGGCCGAUACUGACGCUGAGGAGCGAAAGCGUGGGGAGCGAACAGG